rnacentral:rRNA from 1 species
AACGAACGCUGGCGGCAGGCUUAACACAUGCAAGUCGAGCGCCCCGCAAGGGGAGCGGCAGACGGGUGAGUAACACGUGGGAAUCUACCCAUCCCUGCGGAACAACUCCGGGAAACUGGAGCUAAUACCGCAUACGCCCUACGGGGGGAAGAUUUAUCGGGGAUGGAUGAGCCCGCGUUGGAUUAGCUAGUUGGUGGGGUAAAGGCCUACCAAGGCGACGAUCCAUAGCUGGUCUGAGAGGAUGAUCAGCCACAUUGGGACUGAGACACGGCCCAGACCCCUACGGGAGGCAGCAGUGGGGAAUAUUGGACAAUGGGCGCAAGCCUGAUCCAGCCAUGCCGCGUGAGUGAUGAAGGCCUUAGGGUUGUAAAGCUCUUUCACCGAUGAAGAUAAUGACGGUAGUCGGAGAAGAAGCCCCGGCUAACUUCGUGCCAGCAGCCGCAGUAAUAC